AAGGAGUCUAACAUGCCUGCGAGUGUUUGGGUGUUAAACCCAGGCGCGUAAUGAAAGUGAUAAGUUGGGACUCUUUACUGAGGCACCGACGCCCGAUCCUGAAGUUCUCUGACGGAUUUGAGGUAGAGCAUGUAUGUUGGGACCCGAAAGAUGGUGAACUAUGCCUGAAUAGGGUGAAGCCAGAGGAAACUCUGGUGGAGGCUCGUAGCGAUUCUGACGUGCAAAUCGAUCGUCAAAUUUGGGUAUAGGGGCGAAAGACUAAUCGAACCAUCUAGUAGCUGGUUCCUGC
rnacentral:misc_RNA from 1 species